AUGGAAGAAGGUGCUGUGAGUCAAGGACUGUGGGUAGCUUCUGGGAGUUGGAAACGGCCCCCAGCUGAUAGCCAGCAGAGAAACGUGACUGUAGUCAGUCCUACCCUUCCCUGCAAGGGGCUGAAUUCUGCCAAUUCUGUCAGUGAGCAAGCAAGUGGAUCCAUCCGCCCCAGUGCCGCCAGAAAGGAAUCCAGCCCUGCCCGAACCUCAGUUUUAGCCGAGGAAGACCGUCGUCUGAUUUCUGAUCUAUGGCAAACACCUUAAGGGAGUGAUUUUUAACCUGAGAGCAAUUCACCCCCACGGGGCAUUUGGCAAUGUCUGCAGGUAAGUUCAAUUGUCACAUCUUGGGGUGGGAGUGGGGUGAGAGAAGGUGCUCCUGGCAUCUAGUGGCUAGGGGCUGGAGAUGCUGCUGAACAUCCCACAAUGCACAGGACAGCCUCACAAAUAAGAAGGAUCCUGCCUUGAAGGUCAAUGGUGCCGAGGUUGAGAAACUGCCUUAAGUGUAGUGUCUGUUCCUCCUGCUCAUUUCUAAAUCUCUUGGUUGCUUCAUGAUACAUAAUAAGUGGUCAAUUAAACGCCAGUUGGCUGCCUGACUCAGGUCAGGCAUGUUGGCUUUUCCCCACGUCCCUGCUGAGUUCAGGUCUAACACACUGUUGCUUUGCUCUGAGUGUACCAUAUGGCCCCACAAUAAAUGAGUGAGUCAAUAAAGAGCCUGCAGUAUUUUAAGUGAUCUUAUGAAUGAAAUCCAGAGCAGGGACACAAGUAUUUCAUCUGAAGAAAGAGACUAAUUAAACACAAGAUUGCAGUAAGUACAUUUGUUAGGAGAACCAGAGGCAUUCUGCUGUGGGAAGACUCAUUGCUCAUUCCUAGAGUAGGAUAAUAGGGAGGGAGUCUUAAUCAUGCUUUUAACGAUCAAAGGUAUUCUUAAGAUCAAUCCUUUCAUUAACUGGGUGAAGAGCGAUACUGACCUAGUGGGACAUUUCAGGCGGCGUAAAUUAAUUAUGAACUGCUGCAUGAGAUCUGCUGGGUAUUGAGUUCACAGGCCUUUGCAGGAAAAGGCCAAAGGAAAUUCAGUUAAUGCUCUUCGGAGCGGAUGUUAAGGAAGGAAAGCUGGGGCAUGCUGAACUAAGCCUCCAUAUCACCCUUUCAGUGCUUGGGAAGGAGACCAUGGAGUGUGCUUGACUUUAUCUGGCCACCACUGUGUCUGGUGAGAUGGUGUCCAGGAUGUCCAGGAUCGUUUAGCUAUGUCCAGGAUAGGUUGACAAACUUACAGUGACCAACCAUCCAGGUUGGCCUCUCCUGUUGUAGUACUAAAAAUCCUACGUCCUGGGAAAUCCCUUCCUGGGAUGUGAAAAGUCCCAAUUUUCAGUGAAGGGUAGGGUGUACACAGUUGUGGGGGAAAGUGCAAAACCCAUUCUACAGCCCAAAAUAUAGGACCGAGUGCAGCACUAAUUGUUAAGUGGAUAUCACAUAGGUCAUUUGCCUUCUAUAGCGGCAGUUGCUGUUUUUAACCCUGACUGUUGAUGUUGGGCGGGAUUUUGAAGGUGCCCUUUGUUACCCUUAUUUCUAUAUCUAGCCUGAAAUGAGUAUGAGCAAGGCAUGGCUUCUGGAGUCAGGUAUCUCCCCUCGGAUCUUAAUAACCUCAAUUUAAAUCAGGUGUCCCCUAUGAGCUUGUAUUAGCCAUGCGGCUUGGGGAAAGCCGUCUCACCUCUCUGAGACUUGUUUUCCCAUCUAUAAGGUAGAGAUAAUAAGAGCACCCCUAGAGGUUUGUAAUGAGGCGCAAAUGAGACAAUGCUGUAAAAUGCCUAUGGAAGGGCUUGGUUCAGAGGAACAAAUCAAUACAUGUUACUGUCGUUAAUAAAUAAUGUCACAGCUCUGAUGAUUACCAUCGUUGUUGGUGUGGGUGGCCCAGUGGGUGUGACCAGGCUGGAUGGGACAGCACAGGGCUGUGCUCUGAGCAGCUUUCCUGCAAGCACUGUGAUUGCACAGGGAUGACAGGGACUUCCCUUGCACAUGGCAGAGAGACAUGGUGGGAUUGUCUUGGAGCCUGUUCUCUGGCGGGCCUGGACUCCAGUCAUCUGGGCAGGGUCUUGGGAGUGGUGAUGGGAGGUGGAAAGGAGACCAGUUGAGGCUUCAAAAAGUUGUUUAGAAAUGCAGGUGCUUCACCUGCCUUUCUUCCUAGAGGGCUCGUUUCUAUGCAGGAUGGCGUCAGAUGGGAGAAGUGGACUGUGUGGACCCCUAAACAUUUAGGGGACUAUCUUCUGGUGGGCCAUGCUCCCAUCAGUGAGGCACUCAAUAGGUUUGUGGGGCCUGGAGGUCUCGGAGAACACAGGCUCCACACAGCCCAGUUCCGGCCCUCUCUGUCCUUGACAAGCCCUUCCAAGUUCCUCCCCUGCAACUCCCCAACCCCCUUCUGGAUGGGGUCAGCCAGGUCCCUGUGACCAUUUCUUUACAUUUUCAUGAGCUUUCACACCCCCUCAUUAAAAUAUUAUUAACAUAGGAAGAGGUGCCUAGGGCAGUUUUGUCUUAGUCAAAGCUUUCUUAUUUUUAAACAAAACAAAACAAACAAACAAAAAAACCCCACAAUUUUGGCCAGGUGCAGUGGCUCACAUCUGUAAUUUCAGUACUUUAGGAGGCUGAGGUAGGCAGAUUACCUGAGGUCAGGGGUUCAAGACCAGUUUGGCCAACAUGGUGAAACCCUGUCUCUACUAAAAAUACAAAAAUUAGCUGGGUAUGGUGGCGCAUGCCUGUAAUCCCAGCUACUCAGGAGGCUGAGGCAUGGGAAUUGCUUCAACUUGAGAGGCGAAGGUUGCAGUGAGUCGAGAUCGCGCCAUUGCACUCUAGCCUGGGCAACAAGAGUGAAACUCCACCUCAGAAAAAAAGAAAAAAAGAGAGAAGCAUGAACUCUGCUCAGCUGGCUUCUGCCAACAUAAAUGUCUUCUUACAGGGCUGAACCAGAGCCUGGGAGGAGAGCAAAAGCUUCAUCUUCCUGGGCUCAAGUGAUCCCCCUGCCUCAGCCUCCUGAGCUGUCAAGUAGUUGGAACUGGUUUGCCCUUGUAAGGUUGAGGAAGUUCCUUGUAUUUCUAGGGAUUUUGUUUUUUUUUUUUUUUUAAUUAAGAAUGGCUGUUAUAUUUUCUUCUUUUCUUUUUUCUUGAAGUAUCUGGCACAGAGAAGGAUAUUUGAUUUUGUCAGCUACUUUUUCUGAGUCUAGUGAGGUAAUCAUGGUUUUUCAAUUUUUACUUUAUUAAUAUGAUGAACUAUAUUGACUGAUUUUUGAACAUUAAGCCAAUCUUGGAUAUUAAGCCAAUUUCUAGGAUAAAUCCCCCUUGAUCAGGAUGCAUAUCCUCGUUACAUGUUGUUGGAAUUAUUGGUUAUGUUUUGUUGAGGAUAUUCAUGUCUAUGUUCAUGAGGGCUGUUGCUCUGUAGUAUAUUUUCUUGUCAUGUCUGUUAGGGUUUGGUAUCAGGACAGUGCUGGCCUCAGAAAUGGAGUUUAGAAGUGUUUUCCCUGCUGUAAUU
rnacentral:lncRNA from 1 species